ensembl:lncRNA
UGGACAGAGGGAGGAAGGACAGAGAGGAGGGGUCGCCCCCACAAGGGCCAGGCCGGGAGUCUGGAGGAGCCCCCUGCCGGGAAUGCAGCUGGGGAAAGAGGUUAUUAGGUGCAGUCCUGAGAACGGGGCAGGGAUGAGAGGCAGGGAAUUUGUUACUCGAAAACUGGGCUCGACUCGGUGGACGUUGCGCCAAGAGACACAGUCAAGCCAAACAGCGGGAGAAGGAAGCAUUUAUUACUUGCAGCAAUUCGCUCUGUUUUUCUUCACCCUUGCCUUCCAUUCUGGGAGGGAAGAUCCACCUCAACAGGGUGGGCUCCUCUCACGAGCCCACCUCCGGCGGCCCCCUCCCUCGGACCUUGCCAAGACACCGAGACGAGCUCCAGGACAGGACUCUCCACUUGCCUUCUGGACUGACAUCCACACACUGGCCCACAUUUCAUCCCUCAGUUGCAAGGGGUCACGAUGUCUCAUCUCCUUGAUCUGAAUGUCACGAGGGAGCCUUGGGAUUGCUCAGACGUGAAAGGAAGCCUGUCAUUCUGCUGGGUUGGUCGGUGGUUUCUCCUCUCUGCUGCCUUCCUGCAAAGCGGAUCGCUGUCAAGAUUGAAAAAUGUAAACAUGUCUGACAAAGCCCCCUUUCACAGAGAGCUAUGUAAAUGGAAUUAUCACUUCCCUGGUGGUUCAGUGGUAAAGAAUCCACCUGCCAAUGCAAGAGAUGCAAGAGACUUGAGUUUGAUUGAUCCCUGGGUCAGGAAGAUCUCCUGGAGAAGGAAAUGCCAACCUACUCUCGUAUUCUUGCCUGGGAACCUACCAUGGACAGAGGAACCUGG